GUGUACGGCCAUGCUACCUUGAACAUGCCCGAUCCUAUCUGAUCUCAGAAGUUAAGCAGGGUCGGGCCUGGCUAGUAUUUAGAUGGAAGACCACCUAGGAAGACCAGGUGCUAUAAGCG
ensembl:rRNA 5S_rRNA 5S ribosomal RNA